ACAGUCAUAUUAUGCUGAAAGACUGGCUCCCUUCCAAUCACCAAAGUUAAGCAAUGUCAAGCCUGGUCAGUACCUAGAUGGGUGACCACUUGGGAAU